GAAACGAGCAGGGAGCAACACGCAGCUCCGGUGAUGUGGCAGACUCAAACAGGGGCUCUGUAGCUACCAUGCACUUCCGUUUAAUGGUUGUGCAUAAACAUCUGUAAAAUCAACAGAGGAGGCAGCAAGCAUGCAGUGUUGUGGGUCCCGGUUGUGAUUCUCACAGAGUAGCUGGAGGAAGCGGAGGAUGGGUUGCAUGAUAAUGAUGACGAAACUCAUUUCUCCCUCAUCCUGGUUCUUAUCCCCGGUGCUGGGCUGGCCGUCAGCAGAGUUGAAGUGAUCCUCAGGGUCUGCUUCGCGCCGGUCGCUGGUGUUAACUGUCACGGUGGCUUUGAUCUCCAGCUGAGCCAGCUUCAUACGGUCGUAAAAGACGCGGAAGAACUUUUCUGAUUUCUUGUCUUCUGUGAGACGGCAAAAGAAUGAACGCUGGACACAGGGGACAAGAAGAGAAAACAAGGAUAUUAUGGAUAUUACUUUCUGCUAAAUACAAUUUUGAUCAGUUAUCUUGUCUAUGUUUUCUUUAAG